rnacentral:rRNA from 1 species
CCUACGGGUGGGCAGCAGUGGGGGAUAUUGCACAAUGGAGGGAACUCUGAUGCAGCGACGCCGCGUGAGGGAAGAAGGUUUUCGGAUUGUAAACCUCUGUCUUCGGUGACGAAACGAGACGGUAGCCGAGGAGGAAGCCACGGCUAACUACGUGCCAGCAGCCGCGGUAAUACGUAGGUGGCAAGCGUUGUCCGGAAUUACUGGGUGUAAAGGGAGCGUAGGCGGGAAAGCAAGUUGAAUGUUUAAUCUACCGGCUUAACUGGUAGCUGCGUUCAAAACUUCUUGUCUUGAGUGAAGUAGAGGCAGGCGGAAUUCCUAGUGUAGCGGUGAAAUGCGUAGAUAUUAGGAGGAACACCAGUGGCGAAGGCGGCCUGCUGGGCUUUAACUGACGCUGAGGCUCGAAAGCGUGGGGAGCAAACAGGAUUAGAUACCCGUGUAGUC